GCGGCAGUGCAGCGGCCGCGAAGGGGUGUUUUGCUGUAUGUCAUAUUCCUCGUUUCGCCAGAGCGGGGGUCCCGAGCUUCGGGCGCGGGACGCGGGGGUGCUCCGAGGCUGCGAGUGGAGGCGUGACGUGACGUCCCUGGCAAGAGGCGCGCGGAGUCAGGCCUUACUUAGAACGUGUUCCCGCCGCACAGCUACCAGCGGGCGCGACCGCUACCCACGCAUGGUGCGGUCGAGUAAACGGCACCGCCUGGCGAGCGAGAGACGCAAAGGGACAUAGCCCCCUAGGAGCUGAGCUCUUCGGGGGUAAAGCGUUCUCACGUUGAUGAGACCAGGAGGCGGCGCACGCCUGGCUCCGCGGCCCAGGGGUUGCAGGUGCCCCAGGGUUCGCGGGGCGCAGACGCCGCAGAGGGCGACGCCCUGCCCGGGUCCCGCGCGGACCCGGGGGACGCAGGGUCUGACACGGAGUGCGGAGGGGCCCCAGACACGCAGUCCAUGUCCCUUGAAACCAGAGGCACGCGCGGCCACGCGCUAGGCCUUUCCCUUAAGCCUGUGACCAAGAUCUCCGGGACUCCCAGCGUUGGGACGGGCGCGCUGGCCCACGCCCAAGCGGGAGGAUCGCUUGCGCCCAGGAGAUUGAGACCAGCCUGAGCACCAAAGCGAGACCUCGUCUCUACAAAAAAUAAGACUCAAGAAGACACCCAGGGUGAAUCGCCCGUCUGCAGCCAGCCUCCCGAGCACCGUGGCCGCGUCUGACAACUGACCUCUGUGUCUGGGUGUCCCUGUCCUCAGAGGGACACGGGACCUCAGAAAGGACCACAGCCCGGCGGCAGGCAUGAUGGUGGGAAAGCUAGUUAGGACAGGUGAGGCACUAAAUUUAGCCUGUCAUAAUUUGUAUCAGGGAAAUGAUGAACUUGUAUUUUUACACACCAUGGGCACCAACACAAGAUAUGGUUUCGUAAGCAGCUUUGGCAAGAACCAAAGGAACGGAACCUCUGCUUCCAAGUGUACGGUCAGGAGCAGCGUGUUAAUUAAGUGAGUCAUCUUCCGUGGCAGAAUCCCAGGGUACAUGGGACCAGACUUCGCGAGGCUGGCAUUAGGAAAAGGAAUGUGAGGGAUCCUCCUCCCCAAACCGUAUUCUCAUUUUCUUCCCAAACCUGCAAGCAACCCAAGUACUCAUCAGCAGGUGAAUAAACAAACUGGCACAUCCACACUGCGGAACACGGCUCAACCCCCAGGAGGACCCGGCGCGGAGCCCGGCUCAACCCUGAAGAGGAUUUCACUACUGACACACACGACAUCACAGGUGACUCUGGGAGCAAUCAGGUUCAGUGAGAGAAGCCGGACAAAAAAGAGUGCGUACCUUAUGACUCCACUUACAUAAAAUCCUAGAAAAUACAAACACCAGGCAGGCGCGGUGGCUCACCGCUGUAAUCCCCGCACUUCGGGAGGCCGAGGCAGGCACAUCACUUGAAGUCAGGAAUAUGAGACCCGCCUGGCCAACAUGGCAAAACCCCAUCUCUACUAAAAAUACAAAAAUUACCCUGGCGUGGUGGCACACGCCUGUAGUCCCAGCUACUCGGGAGGCUGAGGCAACCUGGGAGGCAGAGAUUUCAGUGAGCUGAGAUCACACCACGGCACUCCAGCCUGGGUGACAGAGACUCCAUCUCAAAAAAUAAAAAUAAAAAACAUAAAUAGCAACAGAGAGCAAAUCAGCAGUCGCUUGGGAAAUAAGGGGUAGGGAUGGGUGAGAGGGAGGGAUUACCAGGUACACGUGCAGCCUGGAUAGUGCUGAGGGCUUCACGACGUAGACGCAUCAGCCUCAUCAAAUUACACACUCUACCUAUGUGCGGUUUGCCUUGUGUCAACUGUGUAUCCAUAAAGCUAUCAACAAAAACUGCCUGCAAACUAUUUUUAACUGACAACUUUUUUUUUUUUUUGGGAUGGAGUCUCGCUCUGUUGCCCAGGCUGGAGUGCACUGGCGCGAUCUUGGCUCACUGCAACCUACGCCUCCUGGGUUCAAGCGAUCCUCCUGCCUCAGCCUCCUGAGUAGCUGGGACUACAGGUGUCCACCACCACGCCCGACUAAUUUUUGUAUUGUUAGUAGAGAUGGAGUUUCACCAUGUUGGUCAGGCUGGUCGCGAACUCCUGACCUCAAGUGAUCCACCGCCUUGGCCUCCAAAAGUGCUGGAAUUAUAGGUAUGAGCCACUGCACCUGGCCAGACAACUGU
rnacentral:lncRNA from 1 species